GACGAACGCUGGCGGCGUGCUUAACACAUGCAAGUCGAACGGUGAAGGGGUCUGCUUUUGUGGGCCCUGGAUGAGUGGCGAACGGGUGAGUAACACGUGAGUAACCUGCCCCCUUCUUCUGGAUAACCGCAUGAAAGUGUGGCUAAUACGGGAUAUUCUGGGUCUGUCGCAUGAUGGGUCUGGGAAAGAUUGCGCCUUUGGGUGUUUUUGGUGGGGGAUGGGCUCGCGGCCUAUCAGCUUGUUGGUGGGGUGAUGGCCUACCAAGGCGGUGACGGGUAGCCGGCCUGAGAGGGUGGACGGUCACACUGGGACUGAGACACGGCCCAGACGCCUACGGGAGGCAGCAGUGGGGAAUAUUGCACAAUGGGCGCAAGCCUGAUGCAGCGACGCCGCGUGAGGGAUGGAGGCCUUCGGGGUGUAAACCUCUUUCGCCAGUGAAGCAGGCCUGCUCCUUGUGGGUGGGUUGACGGUAGCUGGAUAAGAAGCGCCGGCUAACUACGUG
rnacentral:rRNA from 1 species